AGAAAUACAUGUGGUGGUUCAGCUUAUUCAUCUUUCAACUACCGGGUCCUGAUUAGAAAUGAGAAUCCAAAGACUGAACCACUUGAUGUCGUUGACGCCUUUCACCGUGAUGGCUGGUGGAAGGGUAUCGUCACUAAAGUUGAUGUUUUUGAGGAUGAUAAGACCAACUCAAAGAAGUACACUGUUGUUUUUGAAAACCCACCCGAACAAUUUCAGUUUUCCUCUAAAGAUUUGAGUUUUCAGUGGGAUUGGAGUAAUGGGGCAUGGUCUCGACCCCAAAAACAAAAGAGAACGGAAGGAUUAAGGUUUAGUAAAGGGAUGGCUGUAGAGGUGAAUCUUGACAAAGAGAACUUAGAAGAUGCUUGGUUUCCAGCAACUGUUCUUGAGGAAGUCGGCUUCAAUUCUUUCUUGCUAGAUUGUGGCAGCUCAAAUGGUCAUAUUAAAGAAACUGUUGAUUGCUUCCACAUCCGCCCUCCCCCUCCUAAGUUGGAUAUUACAGAAUUUGAGAUCUUGGAAGCAGUUGAUGUUUUCCAUGAGUCAAGUUGGAGGGAAGCCCUCAUUAGCAAAAUUCUUACAGAAGGUACAGUGUCUCUCUAAAGCAUGCAGAAAAGGAGAUGCAGCUGAGUCAAUCUGAAAUAAGGCCACAUCUCUAUUUGAUGGAUGGUGUAUGGGUUAAUCUUGCCAGGGAUAUAUCUAUUGCUGUACAAUAUGAAGAGAAGAGAUCAACAAAUGCUGACAGCAAUGCAGAAGACCAUGAGGUAGCUAUAAGUGUUGAGAGUUCAAUCAGAGCGAUGAAUGAGAUUGAAGGGAAAUCUUCUUGCAGAAAAUUAAGCACAGCAAAGGAUUACAGAGAAGAGAAAUUGUUUUGCAAAAAGUCAAGGAAGAAUCCAUUAGAGCAGUCAAUGGCUUGUAAUGCACAAUCACCAAGUAAGAAAGUAAGGAAGACACCACCUAAAGGCAGAGAGGAAAAGACAAAAGGAGACUUGGCUGAAAUCCUAGUUGAAAUUGAGCAUAUGGAAAAAGAUGCUCACUCUUCCUUUUCCUUAGUUGAGGGGAGGAGGGGUCUUCAUGCAGAAAACGCUUACCAACAUUCUGAUGAGAAAAUGUGGCUAAGUCAAUUUCAAGAUUGUGCAAAGGAAGAGGCUGAAUUGUCUACAGUAAUCAGCAUGGAGCAUUUAGAUGUCUUGACCGGAUCGUCAGCCAUAGUUUCCUUGGAGAAUCACAUGGCAAAAGAAGUUAGCAUGGCUGCUGUGAUGGAAUCCUGUAACACUCAAGCUUUAUCAACAUGCUUUCCAGGUAAAAGAGAAAGAAAAGUAGAAAAUUUCAACCAAUCUUCAGUGAUAACUGUUCCGGAAGCCACUGAGCUUGUGGAGAAUCUAGAGAUGCCAUUUCUUAAGAGCUCACUUAUAUGGAAAAACAUUGAAUCUCUAGAAGUUUUCCAAGUCCUGCCACAAAGACCACAUUUCAGUCCUCUGAUUGGACAUAAAGAGGCGAGCCGCGAAGGAAUGGCUAUGGGUCAUAUGUUGAGCUUUGCAGUUCUGAUAGAGAAGAUGUCCAAGUUGCGAGUUGACGAUGGUAGAGAAGUUUUCGAGAGCUAUAUGGAAGUCCUUGCUGAUCUUGAAAUGCAUGGAUUUGAGGUUAAGGCAAUAGCGGAGCGCCUUGAGAAGUUGCUGUCAAUCAAAGAUAGGUGCAAACGGCUAGAGGAUGAGGCGAAGAAGGUCCACAUUCGGAUGGCAGAGGGUAAGCAUGAGAAAAUAAAAUUGGAAGAGGAUGUUGAUAAAAUUGACAAGCUGAUAAGCCAGUUAGAAGAGCAACGGGCAAUGAAAGUGUCGAUGAAGGUGAUGAAAGAUUCUGAACUCAUCACUCUGCAGGUGAACGCUAAUGCUGUGAAUGAAGAUACUGUGAAUAUGGAGCAUGAAUUUGAAAACGUAGCUGCUGCAUCUUGGUAACCGACGUCGUUUCCUAAAUGAUCCUUUGGCCCCAAGUGAAGUGAUCUUUCGCUAGAUACAACCAUCAGAAUCGGAUGUUUAUAUUCUCCUCCAAACAUAAAAAGAAGUGUUUAUUGUAGUUUGGCUACUAUGUUAAUUGAGUUAUUAUGGGCUGGACAAAUCUUCCUUUCUAAUUCUAAUGCUAUUGCCAACUUCUUUGGGAUUAAAAUAAA